UAUAGUACUAGAAAGUAACUGCUAGGUCGUCUCUCAAGGACUAAACUGUGGUUCGAGAAUCAGGUCAAACACAAAGUGGGGGGGGGGGUUGUGAAAAUGUUGUGGUGAAUGCGGAUGAACUAAAUCAAAACACGAAUGCAAACAGUAAUGUGAAAACAACAAUGCGAAACGAAAUGUAAAAGGGAAUGCAAAGAAAGAAUCAAAUACUGAAUAAAAACAGUUGGCCAUUAACUCAAUUACUAUGCUUCCUAUCCUAGAUUAACGACAAGUACACACUACUCUAAUCCAAAUCCAACACGAAUCACCCAACUAAGCGAAGGCUAAUUCGG
rnacentral:lncRNA from 1 species